CGAUUAGAGUUUGAUUCUGGCUCAGAACGAACGCUGGCGGCGUGCCUAACACAUGCAAGUCGAACGGAAUGAAGGGGCUUGCUCCUUCAUUUAGUGGCGCACGGGUGAGUAACGCGUAGAUAAUCUGCCUGAUGAUCUGGGAUAACACUUCGAAAGAGGUGCUAAUACCGGAUAAGCCCACGGAGUCUUUGGACUCUGCGGGAAAAGGGGGGGACCUUUUGGCCUUCUGUCAUCAGAUGAGUCUGCGUACCAUUAGCUAGUUGGUAGGGUAAUGGCCUACCAAGGCGACGAUGGUUAGCUGGUCUGAGGGGAUGAUCAGCCACACUGGAACUGAGACACGGUCCAGACUCCUACGGGAGGCAGCAGUGGGGAAUUUUGCGCAAUGGGCGAAAGCCUGACGCAGCAACGCCGCGUGAGUGAUGAAGGCUUUCGGGUCGUAAAGCUCUGUCGAGGGGAAAGAAGUGUAUUGGAGCUAAUACCUCUGAUACUUGACGGUACCCCUAAAGGAAGCACCGGCUAACUCCGUGCCAGCAGCCGCGGGUAAUACGGGGGGUGCAAGCGUUGUUCGGAAUUAUUGGGCGUAAAGCGCGUGUAGGCGGUCUGAUUAGUCUGAUGUGAAAGCCCUGGGCUCAACCCAGGAAGUGCAUUGGAUACUGUCAGACUUGAAUACGGGAGAGGGUAGUGGAAUUCCUAGUGUAGGAGUGAAAUCCGUAGAUAUUAGGAGGAACACCGGUGGCGAAGGCGGCUACCUGGACCGAUAUUGACGCUGAGACGCGAAAGCGUGGGUAGCAAACAGGAUUAGAUACCCUGGUAGUCCACGCCGUAAACGAUGAGUACUAGGUGUUGCGGGUAAAUCACUAG
rnacentral:rRNA from 1 species